CAAAUUUCUAUAUCUAGACCGAGGUGGUAUACACAAAGGAUUUAUUUGCCUUAUAAUAAUUUUUGUAGUACACACACAAAGCAACCAUAUAGUGUGUGUGUGUGUGUGUGUGUGUGUGGUUUUUCUCUGUGUUUUAAUAUACAGCAAGCUUAAUUUUUUAAAACAUUUUUCAUUACUGCAGUCAAAGGGUCAAAAGUAACUUGUUAGGGACUAAUUAUAUAAAGCAAUAUGUAGAGUUAAGUUUUGAGGUACUCAAGAUUGAUUAAUUCAAUAAUUCCAUUAUUUUUGCUGGUAGGCAUUGAAUACUGUUUCAGGUAUGUUGAAUGCCACACAUAGUAUGUAGUAAACAUUUACCAAAUAUUAAUUAUCAUAGAAAAGUCUUACAUCUAGUUGCACAUCAGAAUAAUUUGAGAGCCUUUAAAAAAUGCUCACACCUUGGACCCAUCCUCAGAAAUUGCCUACUCACUCUGAAGCACAAGUUUGAGUUCUCCCCAAAUAAUUCUAAUGUAUUACCAGGGAAUUAUCCACUACUAUUUUAGUGGGUGUUGGAAGUCUACCCUCAGUUUAAGUAUGUUAAAAUACCUUUCAAACUAGACACAGUUAAUUAAGGAGUAAAUUGUGUGCUACUCAUUUUUCUCAAUUCUGUGAGUUUACAUUUCUCUUUUUAAAAAUUUCAGUACAACAGAAAACUAAGCACAAGAAAUUCAGAAAAGUCCAUAAUUUUGAGAUACCUUGAUAUUCAUAAAUAGAAUCACUAAAAAAAUUUUUGUAUGUAUUUGUAACCCUGUAUUUUACAAUGUGUUGAUUGCAGGUUACAUUAUUUAGUAAAUAUCAAAGUCAGUGCCUCAAAUAAUUUUGGUUGCUCUUUAGAUGUCACAGUCAUGUCAUGAAACGAUUCCUUUCAGACAAAUUAGCAUUUUUGUCAGUAUAGGAUACAUUUAAUAUAGAUUAAAAAUAUCUUUUAUCUACAUCAAAAUCUGAAAAUUAUUUCUCAUAGAAUAAUCUCUCUGAAAAUAUAUGUAAAAUACAUCUAAAAUAUUAAAACCCUAUUUCAUAAGCUUUAUGAAAGCAACAUUCAUGGAUGAAAGUCUAAUUGUAUAGAUGAUUUGGGAACUAAUUCUUGGUCAUGGAAACCUUUUCCUUCGAAUCUCCAUAGUCUUCCCAUCAAAAACAGCAAAGUAACAAAUUCAUCAAAUACCGAAACUACUGCAAAUGAUAAACCCAAGGCUGAAAUGGGAGUGUAAUCCUCUUUGUUCAUUGGACACUUGUAGUUGCUUUACUCCUUUUAUCCUCAGGGCUCUUUACCAGAAUAUAUGCCUAUGGAGUGACAAGUCGAUUCUCCUUUCCUCCCAAGAGCACCCCCCUUGGCCAAGUACACACAAAAAGGACCUCUAUUAACUUAAUUCUAUCUGCAAUUUGUGUACGUGACCCAAAUCACCUCAAAGUAAAUGAUGAUUAGUUGUCCCAACCAUGGAACGACUAAGACUGGAAUCACACUUGGGACCCAAGGGAGAAGGUAGAACUGAGAAGGACUUGUAUGUAGCACCUGCCCACACCAUGCUCUGGGUGACCAACAGCAUCUCCAUGGGGCACUGAAACAAGGUUGGAAGAUCACUGAGAGCUGUUUACACAACUGGAACCAUUCCAGCCCAACUCAAGUGAAGCAAACAGCAGUGAAAGGGGUCUCUAUUCCAUUCAUCCAACAAAAACAGUGUGAAGUGGACAUCUUGGGAAGUAAAUCACCAGGAACGGAAGCUGGGCUAACCACCCAGUGGAGGAAGAGCAGUGAGGACCUGAAUGAACACAGAAAGGCUGGUAUGGUGAUUGGGACAUCUACACAUUGUUGUAUUUCUUUAGUAAUUGUCGAUUCCCUGCUGCUUUGAAUAUUCUGAUUUCAAUGCUAUUGAUGCAGUGUUAACUUUUCCUAGAGUCUGAUUAGAGGGCAACACAGCUUAUCAGAGUGAAGGAAGCUCAAGAUAUAAGAGUAAGCUAUUGGUACUGACAGCUAUUGACAGCUGAAUUGUUCAAUGUGUGAGGCCCAGCAAACCAUUUAUUCAUAACUAUCAGUGCAUGUCCUUUUGUCCCCUUCAGACUAAGAUGCUUGCACAAUGUACUGAUUAUUCAAAUAUACAGGUGAUUUGUUGAUAUUUUGCAAGAGGACAAUUGUGUAUACUCUAGGCAGAUUAUCUGUGGCAAGGAUGAAGAAAGUGCAGUUGUAAACAAUGAAACAUCUGAAUUCUGGCGUCAUUUGCAGGAAAACACAGCACCAAGAUGCUGUCUUCAAUGGUCCCCAGUCAGUGACUCAGAGCAAACAUGUCAUGUUGAUCAUGAGAUUAACAGACUUUCCACAGGCAGAUCCAGCAAACAGAGAGAUUGAAACGACUCUAAAACAGACUACAAACUGCCGUGGUCCUCUGUGGCAUCCAGCUGUUUUCUCCUCUAUGUGUGCUAGAUUGCUACAUCAGAUAUUUCUUUUCUUAUUAGCAGAAGCAGUGAGUCAUACUUCUCUGAAAUAGAUGCCAGUUAUUUUAAAAAAUGCAAAGGUAAGUUGAGAUGCAACUUGAUGUGAGAAACAAAUGUGUAUUUCAAACUUAUGGAAAGAAAUAAUUUUAGGUGGGUGUGGAACUCUUCACUGAAGCAAUGCCUUUUGCCCCCUCUUCUUCCUCAUGUACAUGUGCAUGACACCAUCAAGGUUCUUUUUUCAUGACAGGCAUACGCUCUAUGAGGGCUUUAAUCAGUUAUUGGGCAAAGCGUGCUUUUCACUUUCCUCAGAUUCCUCCAGCAGCCUUCUAUGAAACAAUACAAGGAAGGACAUUAGGAAAUCUUAACACAUCACAGAUUGCUGCCAAAUUGUCAGCUGUUGCCGGAUGAAUGGUGAGCCCAAGACACAUUUUUAGCCUCUGGGCUAACCACUUCGAAUGACACAUCUAUAUACAGUUGUCCAGUUAAUAUUAGUAUAAGUCAUCACGGCUGUCAUAAAUAACGCAACUUAACAAAACUAAGAGUGCAGUGAUGACUCUCCCUGGAAUGCGAUGAGAGGACUGUAAUCAGGACAGUUACUGCUGGAGAUCAGUCACAAGCCCAAGCUCGUCCUUGGAGACUCUUGCAAGCGUUGCUCUUCUUCUUGCUUCGAGAACAGAGUCACAUUCUAGAGACUUGAGCCUCAGACGGAUAACAAUUGCUUCUUUUCCAGAAGGCAGAUCAUACCAAUUGUAGAUGAGGAGGAUUAAAAGGCAUCUACAUAAAUUCCACGUGGACACAGAUGAUAGUGUUGUACUGAGGGAUGUCAUUGCCAGAGGUCUCCUGAUCCAGAGACAAGUGCUAGCCCUGCACCCCAGAGGACUAUUAACUUUUACACUUAUGAUUUCACACUGGAGGCAUCUGUUGUUGCUUAAAAAGACAAAUGCAAAUUCUGGAAAAUUAAUUUCCCUUUAAAUACAACUGAAGAGGCAUCUUUAGCCUCUUGCAAAUGCAGUCUUUUAAAGAAGAUCUUCCAAGAUUAGCAGAAAAGUAAAGUAAAUGUGGCAGUAGAGCACAUUAAGAAUGUUAUGCUUUUGUGAAGUAAGUCAAAGGAUGAACAUGUGAUUUUAUGUAACAUUUUGUAAUGCCUAUUUGCAAAUGCCACUGUGUGAAAAUUUCAUUUAUUUAUAUUUCUUUUGAAAAAAAUUAAAACCUAUCCCUCAGUAGCAAAUUAAAAUGAAAACUUAAGUCUUUUAUCAGGAUGACUAAACCACUAAAUAGUUACAUAAUUGUGGUUUGAUUCUGGAUAUCGCUCUACCUAUGUAAUUUGUUUUUAAAACUUCAAAAGUCAUAUUUAAUUGCUUUCCAUAAAAUAAAAGCUUUUGAAUACAAGACUGGUAAUUCAUAAUAAAAACAAAUUACUGUAUUUUUCCAGUGAUUUGCCUAUUAGUUUGUGAACUACUUUAAAACUUACUUAACACUGUGGGAACCAAAUAUUAACAACAAAGAUUAACAGCUUUUGAAUAAUUUUCUGUAUUUAAGGAAACAUAGUUAAAUUAUUCUGUUAUUACUCCUGUAUUUGACAAUGCUUGUGUAGAUUUUUCUGCUUUAUGUUAAGCUUAGAAUGAAGGAACCUGGAUGGCAGCCCUAUUUCAAAAACCUGGAUAAGGGAUCGUCGGCCUGUCCUGAAACCUGACUGCACCUCAACCAGGUUUCCUCUGAAGCUGCUACAUUUCCCAUUUCUUCUGUGCCCUCUGCUUGAACACAGGCACUAGCCAUAAAGGGCUUAUAGGAAGACAGGACGAGGGCCAGAAACAGUUAUGCGCCUGUUUCUUCACUGCUGCUGUUUUCCUGAAAGGACAAAUUGAGGCUUCUGUUGGCUUUAGACAUCAAACUGUUCCAGCCAGAUACGAAGCAAGCUUCCAAUGUGAGGGGUUGUGGCGACCUUGGCAAGAUGAAAGGAAUGCAUAUCACUUUCAUCAAAACUCUAAGCAGAAGAGUAGUGUGAUAGCCAUGGGCAAUCCUCACUUCCAAAUAACAGCGUGUCAGGCUGCAGAUGUCUGGGGCAAACGAGGAAUGCGGGUGGUUUAUGUGCCUCUCUGUGUCCAGGCUUCCUCUACGCAUCUGUGUAUAUUCUUGGAACUCAUCGGUGGUAGCUCCCCGGUUUAUGGCUCCCUGAGACAUUAGCUUUCCCUACAACACUUUCCACUCAGCCACAUUCUGCUGUAAUUCAUUCGUGCUUGGUACCCCUCCCCUCUGCGGCCCAGAGUGCACGAGAAUUUGACGAAAGUCUGAUCUCCGUGUGUCAUCUCUCUGAGGAGCUGUUUGUGAUCGCUGAGGAAUGUUUUCCACACGAUUUCUUAGGCUCUCGCCAUCAGCUAAUUGGGCUGCCUUUUGACUCGGAUAUGGUUGAUAAGACUGUCCCUGGUGAACAGGAAAGUUCUGUUAAAAAGCUUUCACAUACUGGCAUUUGUUUGACUCACUUGGGUUUGGGUUUUUUUAAAUAUACUAUGGAAAAUUUUUUUUUAAGUCCAACAUAUUUCACUAAAUUUAUUACUCUAUAAAUAAAAUUGAAACCAUUGAAAAGAGGGGCAGAAGCCAUUAUAUCAACAAAUCAUACCUGGAAACAAGAGGUUUCUGACCUAGGAAUUAAUUGCAACAUCGGAAACUCCGUUAUAUGCCAUGUGUUCCAUUUUAUUUCAUUUUAGUACAAAAACCAAUGUUUUUAAAUGUUAGAAUAUCUGGCAAGGGUAAAGUCUUGUUUCUUUCUAUAAAAUUAAUAUUAACAUGUCUUUUACUAUUUACUACAUCUUUUUAUUUAGCCAACAAAAACAUUUAUCCUUUAGAAAAUUGUAUAGGGCUAAAUAAAAAGUAGGGUGCUUCUCCACCAUAAAACCUUUCUCCUUAGACUUUCCUAGGAAUAUAAAUAAAACACUGGACAACAAGUGUUGGAUUAAAUGGCAUUAAACCAUUUACUGUCUUCUUUAUGAAAUGGUUGAUCCAGGGUCAAGUCUUACUUAAUUUCAAGGGGCUUACUUUGAGACAAAUGGAGAACCUGAAACCACAUAUGAGUCUUGGAUAUUCAUACACUUCUCUCUGUUGUGAAAAUUAAACAUUGAUUUUAACUCAUACUCCUUCUUUAGAAUAUAUUUAACUUUUCUGCCAUUUGUAGGUCUUGCUUUUAAAGAAUGACCUAUUCUUCCACUUUUCUUUACAUAAAAAAGAAACUUCUUGAGUUUUAUUGAAUUAACAAGAAAACAUAUCUUAACACGAUUAUUAAUCAUAUUCCUUACAGUUAAUCCUAAUGCCAACACUUUGGAUUCAAAUUUCCUUACUUUAUUUAUACUAUUAAGCCAAUGAAUGUAGUAAAAAACUGUGUCUUUCAAACGUGUGCCUGUGUUAAUUCUGCCUGCACCGUGAUUAAUGUAGCUUUGCUUUUGCCCAUAUCCUUUUAUCCUAGCUGUAAAACAGAUGAAGUAUCGUCUUGUUUCUGCUACUUAUGAAUGAA